AUUGAACGCUGGCGGCAUGCCUUACACAUGCAAGUCGAACGGUAACGGGCCUUCGGGUGCCGACGAGUGGCGAACGGGUGAGUAAUGUAUCGGAACGUACCUUUCAGUGGGGGAUAACGUAGCGAAAGUUACGCUAAUACCGCAUAUUCUGUGAGCAGGAAAGCAGGGGAUCGCAAGACCUUGCGCUGAUUGAGCGGCCGAUAUCAGAUUAGCUAGUUGGUGAGGUAAAGGCUCACCAAGGCGACGAUCUGUAGCGGGUCUGAGAGGAUGAUCCGCCACACUGGAACUGAGACACGGUCCAGACUCCUACGGGAGGCAGCAGUGGGGAAUUUUGGACAAUGGGGGCAACCCUGAUCCAGCCAUGCCGCGUGAGUGAAGAAGGCCUUCGG
rnacentral:rRNA from 1 species